rnacentral:rRNA from 1 species
UACGGAAGGCAGCAGUGGGGAAUAUUGCACAAUGGGCGCAAGCCUGAUGCAGCCAUGCCGCGUGUAUGAAGAAGGCCUUCGGGUUGUAAAGUACUUUCAGCGAGGAGGAAGGCGUUGUGGUUAAUAACCGCAACGAUUGACGUUACUCGCAGAAGAAGCACCGGCUAACUCCGUGCCAGCAGCCGCGGUAAUACGGAGGGUGCAAGCGUUAAUCGGAAUUACUGGGCGUAAAGCGCACGCAGGCGGUCUGUCAAGUCGGAUGUGAAAUCCCCGGGCUCAACCUGGGAACUGCAUCCGAAACUGGCAGGCUAGAGUCUUGUAGAGGGGGUAGAAUUCCAGGUGUAGCGGUGAAAUGCGUAGAGAUCUGGAGGAAUACCGGUGGCGAAGGGCGGGCCCCUGGGACAAAGACUGACGCUCAGGGUGCGAAAGCGUGGGGAGCAAACAGGGAUUAGAAUAACCC